CCUCAGUAGCGGCGAGUGAAGCGGCAAAAGCUCCAUUUUGAAAGCUCUUCGGAGCGUUGUAGAUUGGUGGGAAGCUAACGGCUGGUGGGAGACCAAGUCCUCUGGAACGAGGCGCCAUAGAGGGUGAGAGCCCCGUGUGUCUCCUUUACCGACCUUUCAGCCCCCUCCGCGGAGUCGAGUUGUUUGGGAAUGCAGCUCUAAGUGGGUGGUAAAUUCCAUCUAAGGCUAAAUAUUGGCGAGAGACCGAUAGCGAACAAGUACAGUGAUGGAAAGAUGAAAAGCACUUUGAAAAGAGAGUGAAACAGUACGUGAAAUUGUUGAAAGGGAAGGGUAUUUGGCCCGACAUGGGUCCUAUGCACCGUUGCCUCUCGUGGGCGGCGCUCUGCUUGGGCCUGGGCCAGCGUCAGUUUGGAGGGGGCGAGAAGGGUUUUGGGGAGUUGCCUAGCAAUUCCCCUUUGCUAGAUUGCCCCACACCGGACUGAGGACCGCCAUCUGUAGGAUGCUGGCACAACGGCCAAAUACCGCCCGUCUUGAAACAUGGACCAAGGAGUCUAACAUCUAUGCAAGUAUUUGGGUGUCAAACCCUCAUGCGCAAUGAAAGUGAACGUAGGUCAGACCUCUCGAGGGCAUGAUCGACCG
rnacentral:rRNA from 1 species